rnacentral:rRNA from 1 species
GAUCCUGGCUCAGGAUGAACGCUGGCGGCGUGCUUAACACAUGCAAGUCGAACGAACUGAUAAGGAGCUUGCUCCUUUGAAGUUAGUGGCGGACGGGUGCGUAACACGUAUCCAAUCUGCCCGUUACUCGGGGAUAGCCUUCUGAAAAGGAAGAUUAAUACCCGAUGGCAUGUAUUUCCGGCAUCGGAGAUACAUUAAAGAUUUAUCGGUAGCGGAUGGGGGAUGCGUUCCAUUAGAUAGUUGGCGGGGUAACGGCCCACCAAGUCUUCGAUGGAUAGGGGUUCUGAGAGGAAGGUCCCCCACACUGGAACUGAGACACGGUCCAGACUCCUACGGGAGGCAGCAGUGAGGAAUAUUGGUCAAUGGACGCAAGUCUGAACCAGCCAAGUAGCGUGAAGGAUGACUGCCCUAUGGGUUGUAAACUUCUUUUAUACGGGAAUAAAAGACAUUACGUGUAGUGUUUUGCAUGUACCGUUAUGAAUAAGCAUCGGCUAAUUCCGUG